AUUGGGCAUAUGAUGAAUAUGUGUAAAUGGGUAAUUUGCAUCUGAAUUUCGUUGAUGUCAAUAUCGCCGCCUUAGAGAACUGAUGCCCUAA